rnacentral:rRNA from 1 species
ACUCCUACGGGAGGCAGCAGUGGGGAAUAUUGCACAAUGGGCGCAAGCCUGAUGCAGCCAUGCCGCGUGUAUGAAGAAGGCCUUCGGGUUGUAAAGUACUUUCAGCAGUGAGGAAGGUGGGUAUGUUAAUAGCAUAUUCAUUUGACGUUAGCUGCAGAAGAAGCACCGGCUAACUCCGUGCCAGCAGCCGCGGUAAUACGGAGGGUGCGAGCGUUAAUCGGAAUUACUGGGCGUAAAGCGCAUGCAGGUGGUUUGUUAAGUCAGAUGUGAAAGCCCGGGGCUCAACCUCGGAAUUGCAUUUGAAACUGGCAAACUAGAGUACUGUAGAGGGGGUAGAAUUUCAGGUGUAGCGGUGAAAUGCGUAGAGAUCUGAAGGAAUACCGGUGCGAAGGCGGCCCCCUGGACAGAUACUGACACUCAGAUGCGAAAGCGUGGGGAGCAAACAGGAUUAGAUACCCUCGUAGGCUCUGC